rnacentral:lncRNA from 1 species
UUACAGGCAGCCUGACGAUCCGGCGUGGUGGUGGCGGCAGCAAGAAGCUUCUUCACUCCUGCACAGCAUGGCGGUGGAGGACUGGCAUUAUUAGGAGCUUGAAGAUAAGUAAGGCAUGGAGCCAAAUCACCGGAUACAGUUCCACAUGACAAAGCAGCUUCUGCCAUAAGCUUGAAGAUAAGUAAGGCAUGGAGCCAAAUCACCGGAUACAGUUCCACAUGACAAAGCAGCUUCUGCCAUAGGCGCAAUAACUACCAUGCACAUCACCAAAGCAACACAUGCUAAUUUCAUGCUUCUUGCCAUUUUUGUUUUCUUUGUUUUCUAUUCUUUUUCUUAGUUUGUUUGAAUGGUGUGUAAUGUCUUUGUGGGAGGGGGUUUAUAUAGAAAAUAAGAUAAGGUGUGAAGAUGAAUAGAGUGAUGAAUUUUUGGUGAAUGUGCAUCAAAAUUGGGUGGUAGUUGUGAGUUCAAUUAAUGAUGUAUGGUCCAUUAUCUAUAAUUAUUGGAAUUGGAUCUCUACAAUUUUUUCUUCUCAUGUCUUCUCUCAUGUGCAAUUAUGCAUGGUUGAAUCAAUCUAAUAGUUAAAAAAUAAUAAAGAUAAAAAAAUAUCAUUUAAAAAAAUAGAGAAACAUAUGUUUAAUUUUAUUUAAUUUUUUUUCAUUUAUAAUUAGAGAAUACAAAAUAUCAUCGAAAAGACGACAACACUCAUAUAAUUUGUUGUUUCAUACGCUGUUUUUUUUUCAUUUUAAUAUCUUUAUUAAAUAAAUAUUUUUAUUUGAUAAUAAUUAAAAUAUUUAUAUAUAUAUAUANNNNNNNNNNNNNNNNNNNNNNNNNNNNNNNNNNNNNNNNNNNNNNNNNNNNNNNNNNNNNNNNNNNNNNNNNNNNNNNNNNNNNNNNNNNNNNNNNNNNNNNNNNNNNNNNNNNNNNNNNNNNNNNNNNNNNNNNNNNNNNNNNNNNNNNNNNNNNNNNNNNNNNNNNNNNNNNNNNNNNNNNNNNNNNNNNNNNNNNNNNNNNNNNNNNNNNNNNNNNNNNNNNNNNNNNNNNNNNNNNNNNNNNNNNNNNNNNNNNNNNNNNNNNNNNNNNNNNNNNNNNNNNNNNNNNNNNNNNNNNNNNNNNNNNNNNNNNNNNNNNNNNNNNNNNNNNNNNNNNNNNNNNNNNNNNNNNNNNNNNNNNNNNNNNNNNNNNNNNNNNNNNNNNNNNNNNNNNNNNNNNNNNNNNNNNNNNNNNNNNNNNNNNNNNNNNNNNNNNNNNNNNNNNNNNNNNNNNNNNNNNNNNNNNNNNNNNNNNNNNNNNNNNNNNNNNNNNNNNNNNNNNNNNNNNNNNNNNNNNNNNNNNNNNNNNNNNNNNNNNNNNNNNNNNNNNNNNNNNNNNNNNNNNNNNNNNNNNNNNNNNNNNNNNNNNNNNNNNNNNNNNNNNNNNNNNNNNNNNNNNNNNNNNNNNNNNNNNNNNNNNNNNNNNNNNNNNNNNNNNNNNNNNNNNNNNNNNNNNNNNNNNNNNNNNNNNNNNNNNNNNNNNNNNNNNNNNNNNNNNNNNNNNNNNNNNNNNNNNNNNNNNNNNNNNNNNNNNNNNNNNNNNNNNNNNNNNNNNNNNNNNNNNNNNNNNNNNNNNNNNNNNNNNNNNNNNNNNNNNNNNNNNNNNNNNNNNNNNNNNNNNNNNNNNNNNNNNNNNNNNNNNNNNNNNNNNNNNNNNNNNNNNNNNNNNNNNNNNNNNNNNNNNNNNNNNNNNNNNNNNNNNNNNNNNNNNNNNNNNNNNNNNNNNNNNNNNNNNNNNNNNNNNNNNNNNNNNNNNNNNNNNNNNNUUAAUUUUUAUGGGUUUAAAAAUAAAAAUCAAAUUUAUUUCAAUAUCCAACUGAUGAAAUUAACUAACGGUAUAAAAUUCUUUUACAUUGUUAGUGUAUAUCAAUUAAGAGUGUUUAAUUGUAUUGUUUUUGUUGAAUUUCAAUAGUUAUUUCAACCGAUGCUGAAGCUUCUCAAGAUACAAUGUUUGUGUGUAGAAGUUGAAAGGAAAAUUUGAUCAUUGGUGGAUUCCAUAACAUCCGUAAUGGGAUAUAUCAAUUCUCUUUGAGGUCGGAAGCUGAAGAUUGUUCAUUAUAUAUGAAAAUUGUGAGUUGCAAGUUUGGAAUAAAUGGCAAGUUUAAUCAUCCCAUUAGAUGGAAAAAUCAUGUUAUUUUUUGUUAUGUUGGUUUCAAUUAAAAUUUGCUUUUCAUGUAUAUCUCUUUAGAUAUGACAUUCUUAAAAUUCAUGAUUUAAACUAUAUUUAUACUUACGAUAAUAACAGUUCCAUUCUGGUUGAACUGUUUGUGCCUCAGUUUAAUUUUGCAGUUCAAUGAGUUCAAUGACUUCCUUAACAACACUCUUGAUUUUAAAGAUAAUGUCAAAGAUAGAGGGAUGCUAUGGUGGACUAAGUUUAAAACUUUUAAAGAAAAUAGCAGAAAUUGAUUAUUUUCCAUGUAAUAAUAAAACAAAAUAUUUAAAAUAUUUUUUAGUUUAUGUGAUUAAUAUAGAUUUUUAUUUAUAUUUUAUUUAUUUAUAAACCUAUCAUUAUUAAAAAUUAUUAUACAUUAUUGAGUAAUCACAAUACUAUUUAUUAAGAGUUAUUAAGAAUCAUUAUUUUUUAUAAUUAUAUUUUUUAAUCUCUUAAUAAUACUAUUUUUUUAGACUAAUGUUAAUAUAUGCCCCAAAAACAUAAGUUAAUGACUUAUUUGUAAAAAUAUUCUCUUAGAAUACGUGCAUUUAAUUUUUUAAAAUUUAAAAUAUUAUUUUAUUUCACAUAAAUUUUUUAUUUGUAGUAUCCUUAACUUAUACCUGAAAGACACAAGUUAGCAAGACCCUAUUUUUUAAUUAUUAUAUAAUUAAUCUUAAUAAAUCUACUAUCAUAAUCAGAUAGUAGAUGACCACCAAUAAAUUAAAUCCAAACUUAAACUAAGUUAAUUGUAAGUUCCACUUACUUUAAUUGUUUUGUUUUUUUCAUUUAUAAAUAUUUUCAUUUACCAAUGCUUAUUAAAUGAAAAUAAUUUAAUUAAAUAUCUUAUUUAAUUGAAACAAUUCAAAUAUUAAAUAUAAAUAUAUUCACACAACUAAUUGCAAUAAUAACAUCUUCUAAUAAACACAAAUAUACAUGUUUUUACAUUUUCCCAAUGACUUAUGUUUGUUCUUUUAUCAUAACCUUUCCUUUUACCAAAUGCAAUAAAUGACCAUUGAUUAUGAGUGAGCAUCUUGAAAACAGUUCCCUCAAUAAACUUCUCCCUAUCCAAUAAAUCCUACGAAUAACAAGUAAUUUAAAAUGUUAAAAGUAUUUUUCUUUGCUUAUUAUUAACAAAUUCAUUAUUAUUAAUUAAUUAUAUUUUAACACGAUACUAUUUUAUUUUUAUCACAAGUUAUCUCUUUUAAUCACCAAUUAUCUCUUUUAUUUUCAAAUGUCAAAAUUUAUUUUCACGGGUCACUAUCAACACAAUACUAUUUUAUUUUAAUCUCAAAAUUUUAUGUAAUAACAAUUACAAAUGAAAGUUCAAAGUUAUGCUCAAGAUAUUGUAAUGGGUUGUUGUACACCUUCUUUCAAAUCUUCAACCUUCUUUUAUAGAGGUAUAAAAAGAGUUGUUUGGGGGGUUUGAACAUAAGAGAGCAAAUUCAGUGAAGAAACAUGCCAAGAGAGACGUUGGAGAAUGUAUAUGGUUAGAAGAAUUUUCCACUAAAUAAUGGAACUAUUCACAACACCUUUUGAAGUACUGGGUAUCUACCAAAAUGUAGAACAAACUAAAGAGGUUACAUCACCAUUCCUUGAGUCUUGUAAAAUGAAACCCUAGUUUACACUGUCUAGAAAUCUGGGCUUUGACACGACUAGUCUGCUUUGGUACAAUGUACGCAUCAGAGGCUUUUCAAGUCUUCAGAGUCUGAGCUGUCAGCAAAGGAUGGGACACAUGACCAAAGUCUAAACCUUCAGAGACUGAUCAACACACUAAGAGUUAUUAGAUUUUGAUCAAUCGAAAUCAGAGUUAUAUUGCUUCUCCACAUAUGCUUUCAACAUGAUUAAUUUAGAAUGAAUUCUUUGUUUGUGAUCCUGCACACUUGAACAUAUGUUAGUAUAUUCAUUUGUUCCUUAAAAACUUUGUUAUCAUCAAAAUCCAAGGGAUAUUAACAUUCUUGUUCCAACAAUCUCCCCAUUUUUGAUAAUGACAAACUAAUGUAUUUAAGAACAAUGGUGGUCAAUUUAACUAACUUGACAACAUCAGAGUUUAAGGUUUGUAAGCUCCCCUUGAGUCUAAUAGCCCAUAGGUUAAGUUUUGUAAGCUCCCCCUAAGUCAUAUCCAAGUUAAUUUAAAAUUAUUUUAAUAAAAUAAUGUUCAAAUCAAAUCAAUAUCCAAAUAAAUAAGGGUCAGGUAAAUUAAAAGCAUUUCGAAAAAAAUAACUUUAAUCCUUUUAAAUAUUCCCAUAAAUUUCUCCCCAUUUUUUCAUCAACAAAAUGUGAGAACAUACAUGUGAGUAUAGAAGAAAACAAAAAAAUAUUUUAGGAAUGGAAAAAUAUGUGGUAAAAAUUGAAUUCUGAUAACACAUAGCAAGAACAACCUUUGCUCUUCUCAAUAAAGAGAAACAACUAUAAUGGUUAGAAUAUUUCUGCAUUUCUCAAGAUGGUCACACGUCAUUCAAGAAUAUCAACCAUCAGAAGUAACCAUUGCAGGCAUUAAAUCAUCUGAAGUUUCAUCUUCCAAUUACAACAUACAAGUCACUCAACCUCUUCUAUAAAAGCAUACCUUCAUAGACAUACUUCUCAUUUUUUCAACCAAUUAUUCUUAUCUUCAUAACAACAUGAUUUAUCCAUCAGAGAAGACUAAGAGCAUUAUCUGAAUAAAGAUCAAUGAUGAGGGUAAAAUUGUUACUAUGGAACAACACCUUUAGCAGUCCACUGAGGAGGCCUAGCCAUCUAGGUCAGCUGCUAAAAGGGGUGCCCUAAUGUAAUACCUCAAAAUUUGUCCCCCUCAUUCAUGCAUUCAUUUUUAGAUCAUUUAACAUUUCAUAUUGCAUUGCAUCGUAUCAAUCAGAAUCAGAUCCAAGAAGUUUGAAUAUCAUCCGAGACACUUUGUGGGUUCUAAUUGGGUGAUCAGUCAACACAAGGGAAUGACUUGAGUUACUUCCAACAUGUUCAAAUGGAGUCUAUUCACCAUUCAAAACACUAAUCUCGAAGGAGCAAAAAGCAGAGCCUGAACUGUCAUGCUCGCUAGGCGAGCAGAUCCUUCGCUAGGCGAAGUGCACGCGUUUUGAAAUAUAACAGAAACGUUUUGGGCUUGAGUUGCCUUCAUUUUGAGCCCACAAAGUCACAAAAAUUAGGCUAUAUAUUCUAGACUUCCAUAUCCCAAAAGGACACCGGAGAGAAUUAGAAAAAACCCUGGAAAAGAAUAGUGAGAGAAGAGCUAACAGAGUUCAGAGCAGCCCCAGAGACUGAAAGGAACUCAUCUGCAAAGAGCCAAUUCCAUCUCAUAUAAACCCUCAGAUUACUUUGCAAACCCAACCGGGCAAUUCAAUUUCAUUCGAUCCCUCCAAUCAGGUUUGCCCUAUUUCCAUUACUAUAUGCUUUCAAUUUGAAUGCUCUGAAUGUAUGAGGUAUUAUCGUUAGACUUUGCCCACGGGUUUAAAUAUGCAUGAAUGUGUAAACAAUACCUUGAAUGUUUAAUCGUUUCGUUUCUGAUGGAUACCAUAGGGUUUGGGUUGCCGAGAUCGAACUAUUAUCAAUGAAGAACCCAAAACCCGCAGGCGUUCGCUAGCACCUUCGCUAAGCCUUCGCUAGGCGAAGCAGUAGCGAGCGUGACAACAUUUGUUUUUUUUUCUGUUUUCUCUAAUCCGUUUUGUGUUCGUCAUGGCAUGUUUUCUCCUGAUUACCCCAUCGUGUUUCUCUAACCUGUUUGUUGAGUUUUUGUGAGGGCUCACAUGCUCUUGCAGGGAUAGCUUGCUUGGUAUUCCACUUUAUUUGUGGGAUACCACUUGGAGGUUUAUUCCGAUUACCUAUGCUGACUUGCUUUCUUUGAUGGUGCCAGCUUGAGAGAUCUCCGGGUUUCUUGUCUCUUUAGUUGCUGUUACUUCGGAUCUUUAUCCGUGUGGUACUUUUACAUCUUUCCCGCAUUUUACCGCUUUCUUAGCUGGAAGACCUCAAUAGGAGGNUCCCUGCAAUUCAGAGUUUGCCUCAUUUCCAUCUACUAUAUGCUUUCAAUUUGAAUCUCAUGAACUGUUCAUGCUUAUUGUAUUAUUCGUUAGACUUUGCCCACCGGUUAAAUAUGCAUGAAUAUGUUAAACAAUACCUUGAAUGUUAAUCGUUUCGUUUCUGCAUGGGAUAUCACAUAGCGGUUUGGGUUGCCGAGAUCGAACUAUUUAUCAAUGAAAGUGAACCCAAACGCCGACAGGCGUUCGCUAGCACCUUCGCCUAAGCCCUUCGCUAGGCGAAGCGCAAGCGUAGCCGAGCGCUGACAACAUGCUUUGUUUUUUUUCUGUUAUUCUCUAAUCCGUUUAGUGUUUCGUUCAUGGAUGUUUCUUUGCCCUGUCAAUCCUAAACCCCAUCGCCUGUUUCUCUUAAUCCUUGUAUGUUCGAUUUUAGUGGUCUCUCGAGGAAUGCGACAUGUGUUCAUAUGCAGGCAAUGCGAAAUUUAGUCAUUGCCUUUGGCUAUAUCAUUUAUUUGUGGGCAUUACUACUUGUGACUGUUCUACCUCAAAAACGGCAUUACCUGAUUGUCCUACAAUGACCUUGCUUUCUUUUUAUAGCGACUGCAAAGCCUUUGCACGAGAUGCGUCCGGACGUAAUUGCUUAGAGUGUUCUUCCUCUUUUAGUUGCCUGUUAUACGUCGGUAUCUUUGAUGCCGAUGUCGAUUUACUUUUACAUUCUUUCCCGAUUUUACGUCUUGUCCUUAACUGAGGAAAGUGACGCCUCCAAUAGAGCAAUAAUUUCUUAUUUUUUUGUUUUGCUUAUCCUCCUUAUGUGCAACAUAAGAUCUGCCAUGCCAGAAUUGCGAAAGUGGGACGUAUACAAUAUAGUGAAGGAUUAUUAAUCAUCCCCCGUUAUCUCAGCCUUGUGUCGCUUUUUCUAUUUAGAAUGCUUCAGACAACUACGUGUCGAUGCUCAGAACAAAAGCCCAAGAUUUUGUUCUAACAAUCCGGGUUACUUAGGCUCAGUCGUGGAUGUAGUGUCUGGCUUUCCCAACUGUUCUGAAUCCCCGAACACCUUUAUAGUCAUGCAGCUCACCGUAUCGCUCUAUGUUAAGAGCUAUGAGGUCUUAUGCUCACUUACACCGUUUUGAAUCUGCUCCCUAGACGUUCGCAAUGUCAGGUGGUUCAGAACGGCCAUUUGAUGUACUAUUCCAUGGCUGUUGCGAGGUUGAUAUGACCCGUUUUCGCUAGGAUCUAAUAGCCACUAUACCUCAUGUACUCGUUUCCUCUGUGGCCCGGUGUUGGCGUUGUCUUGAUUGCCAUAUUUUUUGGGCAUGGUGUGAUCGUCUUCCCCAUUAUGGAUUUGCUAGGGCUUCGAUUAGUGAUGGCUUCUCGUUGCGGCCCAUGUCAAUUUAUACAUGUGAGUAAGGAAUUCACCACCUGUUCCAUUGUUCUUAGGACCUUCUCCUUUAUUAUGUCACAUGAAGCAUUCCUACACUAGACUCCAACAAACAGACAAAGGCUCAUUUGAUAUUUCCCAUUAUUAUCCUACCUUAUAAGAACACUCAUUGUAGUAAUAUCCUUCUAUACUAGCAGGAUGACGAAGUAUAGCUUUCUCAAAGGUCGGAACGACACACCGGUUAGUAAAUCUUGACGUUAGUAAUGUCUCGUGUCUUGUCCAUUCUCAAAAAAACACUAAAGCCCACUUACCCGUAGUAGGGUGUCUGACCGAACUACGGCUUGCUCUGAUUCUCAUUCCAUGAGGCUCGAGAUACGUAGGCAUAAGAACGCGAUGGUGUCUUUAGCGAGCUUCACUUAACCCACUAGGUAAGCCAGCUUACGAAGACUCUGAUUGCUCAUGUUCAGAUGCAGCCAUACGAUGCGCAGUGUAUGCGACAUCCAAGUUGUCGCAUCGAUUAUAUUCAUAAUUGCCCCCCUUUUUAGUAAAUAGUUAACAUUACGAUAACCUACACUCUUUAGACAAGAACAACAAAGUGGAUCCUUAGGAUACUCGCGCCGGUCCAGGGGUGCUAAAUAUCCGUUCCUUAACGCAUAGAUCGAGCUCGCCGGAAACCCAAGAUUGAAGGUUGACGCGAGACAACCUUGUCUUUUCUGUUUGCUUCUUGUUCUAGGUUCAUUACACUCUUGAGUCGUCUUUUCCUCCUUUGAGUAUGAAAAUAACGACUUCCUUAGAGGUGUGCGCACAUACUUCUGUUCAUCAUCUUUACGUACGCCGGUUGAUAUUUUUUUCUGACCAUUUCUACCUUCUUCUUAUUCACAGUUGCGACGUAGGCGUGGCAGAUAAUUCGCGCUUGAGGGGACUACUCUUCCCUAGGAAGAAUCCCGGCUUCCUAGUCGUUUUGUUUGAUCGUGGGGUUUUUUUUUUUAUUAUCUAUUUCAUAUUAUCAUAAUUCUUUAUCAAUGUUAUGGUCAACCAAAGCUAAUCCAUAAAAAAUGUUUUUUUUGGGGGCGGACCGGGAAGGAGUGGGGGGGGGUCAGGCGUCAGGAGGGGGCGGGCGGGGGUGGGGCGACACUACGCCCGGGGCGCUGUGUUCCUAAUAAUUUGGUUUUUUGUUCGCCCACCGCCCCAGUUGGCUCGGUGUUAUUUAUUUAUGCUUUGCAUACUUAUCUGGUGUGUUGCAUCCUAUUGCGCUUUUACUGUCGUGUGUAGUGUGCUGGCUGUGUUUGUGUGUUGUCCCUGUCGGUGUUGGGGUCACAGAGGCUAAAGGCCCAAUACACAGGCCUAUCAGGGACUUUAGGACAUCUAGGAUAGAGUGAUACAUGGGAACGCGGAGUUAUGGCCGCCAAGCGCGAACAUGGUAUCAAGCAGCCAGUUCAAAUUCUGAUGGGUUUAUCGUUGCAUACCACCUGGGUAUGCAUAUGUCAGUAUUCUUGAAAGGAUUGUUUAUCCUACGUUCUCUUGACUCUUACCCUGCGCCUAGAUUACACCCGUGAGUGGGGCGGGAUGAAUCAUUUUACAGGUACUGAUGGGACUUGUUCUGUUGGUGCCGUCUCGCUGAUAGUGAUUUUGUGUGGGUCCUUGUGGUGACCGUUACGCUUCUCGAAGUAUGGGUUGCUAAAUUGAAUGACUGUGUUCUUGUUCCCGGUUCGAAUCAUGCUGAAGUUCUGAUCUGUGCCUCGUGAUAUACAACCAACCGUUUUCUGGAGCCAAAGUUUUGAUCUACGUAGUACAUUCUUCAGUGGGUUUCUCUUCAGACAGUGCAACCCAACAGAUAUUCAAGCAGAUACAACAACCUUGAUUUGCAUGUCACUGCAUUGCAUCACAUCAUUCGCAUUCAUAUCAUUCACACAUGUUUAUCCAUUUAUGUGGGGUUUAUAUCCUCUUCUUGAUUCUAGUCGGGGUUUUUCUGGUACUUUUUAAAAGGGAUAUUUUAUCUGAUGAAAGACUGGAAUCAAGGGGGUAGAAUACCUGUGGAACUGAUAAACAUGUCAUUGCAUUUGCAUAUUCAUUAGCAUGUCUUGCAUAACAGGUACCGUCGCAGUGUUCUCAGUUUGUUAGGUAUUCCACUGGUAGGAUAGUUGACUUAGGCAUUCACUGAUACGGUACCCGAAGGAAUCAACGAUGAAGAUGGGGAUAGUGAUUGCGACAUCGAUAACUGGUUGCGUCUGAGGAUCCCGGGUGAAGUUCUCCGCAACUGGUCUUCUGAAGAGAUUAUCCAAGUCACUCUUCUUGAAGAGUAAUUUUCUUUGUUUAUUCAUGCAUAUCCAAGUCUUACGUUCCGCCCAGAGCGUAAUGACUCAUUGUAGGGCUCAUCUAUGCGAAUACCUGCAUUUUUUAUCAUCAAUAAAGGACGUCUUUUUGCAUUCAAAUAUUUCGUUCACUGUUUUCCAUUUUUGCAGUUUUCAAAAAUCAAAAAAUAUUUGGCAAUGUUUUGUUUAGUUUUCAUUUUUUCACACUCAUAAGCACAUACCAUCACUCAUGCAGAUGCGCAUCACCGGAUCCUAUUGAUAACGAUUCUGCUAUGGCUCGCUUCGACUUUGAAAAUCCAAUCUUUCAAGCUGAAGAAGGGGGUGAUGAAGACUGUGAACUCCCUGAAGAACUUACCAGGCUAUUAAAACAGGAAGAAAGGGUCAUUCAACCGCAUCAAGAGUCUGUGGAAGUGAUUAAUCUCGACACCGAGGACGUCAAGAGAGAAAUCAAGAUAGGGGCGUCUUUGGAAGAUAAUGUGAAGAAGGGGUUGAUUGAAUUGCUGCAAGAGUAUGUUGACAUCUUUGCUUGGUCUUAUCAGGACAUGCCAGGGCUUGACAUAGAUAUUGUGGUACACCGUUUGCCUCUCAAAGAAGGUUGUCCUCCGGUCAAGCAGAAGCUAAGAAGAACAAGACCAGAGAUGGCUGUCAAGAUAAAGGAAGAAGUGCAGAAACAGUUGGAUGCAGGGUUCCUAGAAAUGCAAACAUUGUUCUAGUACCUAAGAAGGAUGGAAAGGUACGGAUGUGUGUCGACUACCGGGAUCUGAACAGAGCUAGCCCUAAAGAUGAUUUCCCAUUACCUCACAUCGAUGUUUUGAUAAAGAACACAACUCAGUUCUCGGUAUUCUCCUUCAUGGAUGGCUUUUCUGGCUAUAAUCAAAUUAAGAUGGCACCAGAAGACAUGGAGAAGACAACUUUCAUAACCCCAUGGGGCACCUUCUGCUACAAGGUGAUGCCGUUUGGUCUGAAAAAUGCCGGAGCAACAUAUCAGCGAGCGAUGGUGACUCUGUUCCAUGAUAUGAUUCAUCAUGAAAUCGAGGUUUAUGUGGACGAUAUGAUUGCCAAAUCUCAGACAGAAGAAGAACAUUUGGUGAAUUUGCAGAAACUGUUUGAGCGUUUGAGGAAAUUCAAACUGAGACUUAAUCCGAACAAGUGCACUUUCGGGGUGAGAUCGGGAAAAUUGUUGGGUUUUAUUGUUAGCGGAAAAGGGAUUGAGGUGGAUCCUGACAAAGUGAAAGCAAUACAGGAAAUGCCUGAGCCAAGAACAGAGAAGCAAGUCCGUAGUUUCUUAGGGAGGUUGAACUACAUUGCAAGGUUCAUCUCUCACCUAACAGCCACGUGUGAGCCAAUAUUCAAAUUGUUGAGAAAAGAUCAGGCUAUCAGGUGGAAUGAUGAUUGUCAAAGGGCGUUCGAGAAGAUAAAAGAGUAUUUGCAGAAUCCUCCUAUCCUUGUGCCUCCGGUCCCAGGGAGACCGCUGAUUAUGUAUUUGACAGUACUAGACAAUUCCAUGGGUUGUGUUCUCGGUCAACACGACGAGACAGGUAGGAAAGAGCAUGCCAUCUACUACCUGAGUAAGAAAUUCACAGAUUGCGAGUCGAGAUACUCAAUGCUUGAAAAAACAUGUUGUGCACUUGCAUGGGCUGCUAAGCGAUUGAGACAAUACAUGCUGUCUCACACAACCUUACUGAUCUCCAAGAUGGAUCCAGUCAAGUAUAUAUUUGAGAAGCCAGCUCUCACCGGAAGAGUUGCUCGUUGGCAAAUGGUACUGACAGAGUACGACAUCCAGUAUACAUCCCAGAAAGCCAUCAAGGGGAGUAUUCUGUCAGACUAUCUUGCUCAACAGCCGGUUGAAGAUUAUGAGCCGAUGAAGUUUGAUUUUCCAGAUGAAGACAUCAUGUUCCUCAAGAUGAAAGACUGUGAAGAGCCAGUUGUUGAGGAGGGACCUGAUCCAGACGAAAAGUGGACUUUAAUGUUUGAUGGGGCCGUCAAUGCCAAAGGAAGUGGAAUUGGUGUUGUCAUUACCACUCCGAAAGGUGCCCACAUGCCUUUCACCGCUCGUCUGACUUUUGAGUGCACCAAUAAUGAAGCUGAGUAUGAAGCCUGUAUCUUGGGUAUUGAGCAAGCCAUUGAUUUGAGAAUCAAGACUUUGGACAUCUUCGGAGAUUCAGCUCUGGUAAUCAAUCAAGUGAAUGGUGAUUGGAACACUCUCCAGCCUACUCUGGUCCCCUACAGAGAUUACACGAGAAGACUGUUGACUUUCUUCACAACAGUAAAGCUGUACCAUAUACCUCGUGAUGAGAACCAGAUGGCAGAUGCUCUUGCUACUCUAUCCUCCAUGAUCAAGGUGAUCCGUUGGAACCAUGCUCCCAAGAUCGACGUGAUGCGCCUUGAUAGGGCCGCGUAUGUGUUUGCUGCUGAACUGGUAGUUGAUGACAAGCCCUGGUAUCACGACAUCAAGUGCUUUCUGAAGAAUCAAGAGUACCCUGCAGGGGCAUCCAACAAUGAUAGAAAGACUUUGAGAAGAUUGGCAGGCAGUUUCUUCUUGAACAAAGACGAUGUGCUGUAUAAGAGGAACUUCGACAUGGUUUUGCUCAGAUGCGUGGACAGACACGAAGCAGACAUGUUAAUGCAGGAAGUUCAUGAAGGCUCCUUCGGUACUCAUGCCGGCGGACAUGCAAUGGCUAAGAAAUUGUUGAGAGCGGGAUAUUACUGGAUGAUCAUGGAAUCUGAUUGUUUCAAAUAUGCUCGGAAGUGCCAUAAAUGCCAGAUUUAUGCUGAUAAGGUACAUGUGCCGCCAAAUCCUUUGAAUGUGAUGUUUUCGCCGUGGCCUUUUGCUAUGUGGGGCAUCGAUAUGAUUGAAAAGAUUGAGCCGACCGCCUCCAAUGGGCACCGCUUCAUCCUUGUUGCCAUCGACUAUUUCACCAAGUGGGUCGAAGCAGCAUCAUUCGCGAAUGUCACCAGACAUGUGGUCGCCCGAUUCAUCAAGAAAGAAAUCAUUUGUCGCUUUGGGAUUCCCGAAAGAACCAUUACUGAUAAUGGUUAUAAUCUCAACAACAAAAUGAUGAAGGAGUUGUGCCAGAACUUCAACAUUCGGCAUCACAAUUCUUCCCCUUACCGCCCUAAGAUGAACGAUGUUGUUGAGGCGGCAAAUAAGAACAUAAAGAAGAUCGUGUAGAAGAUGGUCGUUACAUACAGAGAUUGGCAUGAGAUGCUACCCUUCGCCUUGCAUGGGUACCGUACUUCAGUACGUACGUCGACCGGGGAAACCCCUUACUCCCUCGUGUAUGGUAUGGAAGCAAUCCUACCUGUUGAAGUGGAGAUUCCUUCUCUAAGAGUCCUGUUGGAUGUCAAGUUGGACGAAGUUGAAUGGAUUCGAACAAGGUUCAAUAAGUUGAGUCUUAUCAAAGAGAAGCGAAUGGCAGCCAUUUGUCAUGGGCAGUUGUAUCAGAGUCGGAUGAAGAGAGCCUUUGAUCGAAAAGUGCAUCCUCGGUGUUUACAAGUUGGAGAGUUAGUGUUGAAAAUGAUCCUUCCUCCUCAAACAGAUCACAGGGGCAAGUGGACUCCUAACUAUGAUGGACCGUAUAUUGUCACCAAGAUUUUUGAUGGUGGAGCCUUAAUGCUUGCAACGAUGGAUGGUGAAAACUUCACUUCCCCUGUGAACUCAGACGCAGUUAAAAAAUACUUCGCAUAAAAUAGACCCGCUGGACAGUAAAAAGAAUAGUCCAGGCAAAAAAUGGGCACCGAGAACAAGAAAUGAAAAGUUCGAGCAAAAUUAGGGAUUAAAAUAAAAGAUCGACACCGGUAAGUGAAAACCUGAAAAGGCACUUAGGCAAAGUACCGGUGGAUUGAAAACCCGAAAGGGAUCAGCAAAAGUUAGGGAUUAAGAAUGACUGCGUUCUGAGUAGUUUCUGAAAUCUCAUCUCGUGAAUGACUGAACUUUUGAGGAUAGGAAACAUAAUAUCUUUUAUAAGCUGAUAUAUUGAGAUCUUGAAGCGACAAGUAUAGCUAGAUGGAACCCAUAGAAUCAUUUACAUUGAUUAGAUUAAUUUUGUUUUAUCUUUUGUCGAUACUUUCAGGGAUGGCAUUCUGAUUAAAUGCUAUUUAGAGCGCAGUCAAUCAAUAAAUCAUGUCAUUCAGUACAUACUGUGUCCAUUUUCAUUUUAUGUUUCUGUUGUGCCAAAAAUGACGUGAAUUUUGAUAACUAUUGCAUACAUGAAACAUAAGAGCUUAAGGUACAGAUGCUUAAUAGAACAUUUAAAUUUCUGUAAAUUCUAAAGUGCUUCGGAAUAUCUAUACAUCAACUCGGGGCAUUACUUAGUUCCAUCGAUGAUGCGACAGUUUUCCCCUAACAGUCGAAGUUGGUAUUUGCCCUGCAGAAUGAUCAGAGCAUUGGAUUCUUCGAUCCCCAAGGGCCUCACUGUUGUACCUCCCCCAAGCGGUUGUUCAGAAUAUACAUCCCAGUAGUUUGACGGUGCCCAGAAUAUAUAUCCCCAGCGAUUGAACAGUGCCAGACUGUAUCUUGCACGAGAGCGGCUGUCCUGCAGGGUUCGAUGCCAGAUCGAUGAUCUCGACGCCAGAUCCAUGGUCUCUUUUCUUGAAGCAGAAUCUCGGUACCGUAUCGGUGUUGCUCCCCUGCUAAGGGUUCUCUCUCGGCAAUUAUUGGUUUGCCAGAACAUUACGCUUCCCCAACAGCAGGUUUUCAGUGCCCGUUCUCUCCUAGUUCAGAGUCUUGGUAUUCACAUUGCUAGAACUACUGUGUGGCGGAUAUUUCCAAGAGUUCUUGUGCUAGCAUCUCCAACAGCGCUCUGUCAGGGCAGGAAGUGGUGAUCAUUUCCCCGCAGAUUCCCUUGCUCAGCUUGGCAUUCUACAAGUAUUUACCAUCCUUGCAUGUAGAUCAAAUUGCAUUUUGCAUCUCCCAAAUCGGUAGAUUUCAUUUUCCAUGGAGCAUUACGCCAUUUGAGAAAAAUUCAAAACGCAUGUAAGCAUAAAACAUUCGUAUGCCCAAGUGAUAAGCCAGAAGUUGUUUCCAGUACUCAGACUGAAGAUUGUUCAUGACUUACCUUUAUUAUCCCCAGCAAGUGUCAUUGGCCCAUGCGCCGCCUCUAUUAUCUUUCCCUAUUUAUGCCGAUGCCGACAGGCAUGAAGUUUCCGAUAUUCAGACCGAAGUGGCGUUCAGGCCAAGUUUCCGGUAUUCAGACCGAAGUGACGUUCAAGCCAGUUUUCCGAUAUUCAGAUCGAAGAAGUUUCUGACGUUCAGGCCAGUUUUCCGAUGUUCAGAUCGAAAAAGUUUCCGACGUUCAAGUCGAUGCAACUUGUGGCAUUCAGGCCAAUUUUCCGAUAUUCAGAUCGAAGUGGCAUUCAGGCCAAUUUUCCGAUAUUCAGAUCGAAGUGGCAUUCAGGCCAAUUUUCCGAUAUUUAGAUCGAAGUGGCAUUCAGGCCAGUUUUCCGAUGUUCAGAUCGAAGCUGUUUCCGACAUUCAGGUCGACGCAACUUGUGGCAUUCAGGCCAGCCUCUCGGUGUUCAGACCGAUAUUAUCAACCUCAUAUCUUCCAAUGUUCAGAUCAAAGUCAUUUCCAGUAUUCAGACUGAUGAGCGGCAUUCAAGCCAUGGUUAUUUCUGUGUUACCAUUUAUUUUGGUAUCCAGGUUAACAUUCUUUUUCGGUAUUCAGACUGACUCUCCACCGUUACCAGACGGAUUCUUCUUUCAAGACCACCUCUUUGCGAUUCUGACAGGCAUUGUUACUUCACUUCACUUCAGUGCAAAUUUUCGGGCUUUUAUUGUAUUCAAUCCCUUGAUACCUCGAAAGUGCGAAAGCCGCUGCUAUCUUCUUUUCGGGUCUCCAGUUGAUUGAAUAGGGGCAACUGUAAUACCUCAAAAUUUGCCCCCCUCAUUCAUGCAUUCAUUUUUAGAUCAUUUAACAUUUCAUAUUGCAUUGCAUCGUAUCAAUCAGAAUCAGAUCCAAGAAGCUUGAAUAUCAUCCGAGACACUUUGUGGGUUCUAAUUGGGUGAUCAGUCAACACAAGGGAAUGACUUGAGUUACUUCCAACAUGUUCAAAUGGGGUCUAUUCACCAUUCAAAAUGCUAAUCUCGAAGGAGCAAAAAGCAGAGCCUGAGCUAUCAUGCUCGCUAGGCGAGCAGCAUGGUUCGCUAAGCGAAGCUGAACUGUCAUGCUCGCUAGGCGAGCAGAUCCUUCGCUAGGCGAAGUGCACGCGUUUUGAAAUAUAACAGAAAAGUUUUGGGCUUGAGUUGCCUUCAUUUUGAGCCCACAAAGUCACAAAAAUUAGGCUAUAUAUUCUAGACUUCCAUAUCCCAAAAGGACACCGGAGAGAAUUAGAAAAAACCCUGGAAAAGAAUAGUGAGAGAAGAGCUAACAGAGUUUAGAGCAGCCCCAGAGACUGAAAGAAACUCAUCUGCAAAGAGCCAAUUCCAUCUCAUAUAAACCCUCAGAUUACUUUGCAAACCCAACCGGGCAAUUUAAUUUCAUUCGAUCCCUCCGAUCAGGUUUGCCCUAUUUCCAUUACUAUAUGCUUUCAAUUUGAAUGCUCUGAAUGUAUAAGGUAUUAUCGUUAGACUUUGCCCACGGGUUUAGAUAUGCAUGAAUAUGUAAACAUUACCUUGAAUGUUUAAUCGUUUCGUUUCUGAGGGAUAUCAUAGGGUUUGGGUUGCCGAGAUCGAACUGUUAUCAAUGAAGAACCCAAAACCCGCAGGCGUUCGCUAGCACCUUCGCUAGGAGAGCCUGCAGCGAAGCUUCGCUAAGCCUUCGCUAGGCGAAGCAGUAGUGAGCGUGACAGCAUUUUUUUUGUUUUUUGUUUGCUCUAAUCUGUUUUGUGUUCGUCAUGGCAUGUUUUCUCCUGAUUACCCCAUCGUGUUUCUCUAACCUGUUUGUUGAGUUUUUGUGAGGGCUCACAUGCUCUUGCAGGGAUAGCUUGCUUGGUAUUCCACUUUAUUUGUGGGAUACCACUUGGAGGUUUAUUCCGAUUACCUGUGCUGACUUGCUUUCUUUGAUGGUGCCAGCUUGAGAGAUCUCCGGGUUUCUUGUCUCUUUAGUCGCUGUUACUUCGGAUCUUUAUCCGUAUGGUACUUUUACAUCUUUCCCACAUUUUACCGCUUUCUUAGCUGGAAGACCUCAAUAGGAGGCAAUGUUUUCUUUUGUUUGUUUACUUUUGUGCCCAAAGACCUCCAUGCAGAGGAAAUUGACGGAUAAAAGGGAUUAUUAAUCAUUCCCCCGUUAUUCAGUGUGUCGUUCUUUAUGCUCACACUACGUGUCGACGCUUCAGAACAAAAGCCCAAGAUCUUUUGUCCGGUCAGUCAGUGGAUAGGGUUCCACCUUUCUGAAUCCCCACUUUUUGUCAUGAGCUCACCCUGUCCAGGGUUAAGAGCUAUGAGGUCUUAUCCUCAUUAUCCUUUUGAUCUGCUCACCCUGACGUUCAACGUCAGUGGUUAAGAGCCCAUUUGAUUACCUAUUCCAUGGCUUGUUUGUCGAGGUUGAUACGACCCCUCUUGACUAAAGCCCUACCCAUGUAUGUUUGAGCCCCCUUGUUGGCGUGUUUGCUUUAUGCAUAUUUAUUUUGUAUGGUGUGAUCGUCUCCCGAUAGGAUUGCUUGGCUUUGUAUAGUCUCUCGUUGCAUGUUAAUUAAGGUAGCAUUGUUCCUUCGUUUAUGACUUCCUUUUUGCAUGAGCAUUCCUAAAACACAAACAAACUCAUUGAUUUUUCUUCUCCUAAGAACACGUUAACUCCUUCUACUACAGGCGAGUAAGUAUCCAAAGGUCGAGCAUCCGGUAGAUUGCAUAGUAACGUCGUUCAUCUAAAAAACACAAUCCUUAACCCGUAGGUAGCCGAACUACGGCUUGCUCUGAUUCUCAUUCCAGAUGAGAUACGUAGGCAUAAGACGCGAUGUCUUAGCGAGCACACUCCUCUUUAACCCAUAGGUAGAGCUACGAAGACUCUGAUUCUCAUGUUCAGAUGAGAUACGUAUGCAGUGGAUGCGACAUCCGUGCGAGUCAUUUUCUUUUGACCCCCCUUUUAGUAAAUAGUACAUUAGAUAAACCUACACCCUUUAGACAAGAACAACAAAAGUGGAUCCCGUAGAGUACUAUGGAUGCGUAGGGGUGCUAAUACCUUCCCUUCCCAUAAUCGGCUCCCGAACCCAAGAUUUGGUUGCGAGACCUUGUCUUUUCCUUUCCUCUUUUCAGGUUUACUUCGAGCAUUUCCUUUCCCUCCUUUGGGAUAAAUAACCCACGGUGGCGACUCUUCUGUCAUCUCUUUUCUCGUCGGUUGUUUUUUUCGCAUUCCUUUUUUCAGGUUGCGACACCUAAGAGUAAGGAAGCCUGAGAAGAAGAAGAAGAAGAAGAUGAAGAAGAAAAAGAAAAGAGUUCCAAGAAGGAUGUUUUUCUACGACUCAGAUGAAGGAAGUGAGGAGCGUGUUGCUGACUAGGAGGAUUCUUUUGUAGCUAGGGAUUAUUGUUCUGAUCUGGACAAACUUAUGUAACCUCAAAAAUAUUGUACUCUUUCCAAAUGAUUAAUGGAAAAAAUUCCCUUUUUGCAAUGAUUUUUCUAAUUAAUUGUUUCAUUUGAAUGCGUUAAUCGUUCAAGAGAUAUUCAAAAAUAAUUAAUCCAAAGAAUAAUACAAAGAAAGCAAGGAUUAUUUCUAACAAUUAUCAGAUAAGGAAUAAUAUUUCCCAUAAAAUAUAGCUUAGAGAAAAUCACAUAAGCAUAAAAAAUAUAUCAUGUUGUCAUACCCUAAUUUUUAACCCUAAGAUCCCACAUAUCAUUUGCAUCCUUGUAUAUAAACAAGAUCACAUCUUUGUCCCCUCCCUCUCAUCCUUUGGGUUUGCCUUUUGUAAGGAUCAUCAAGCACCUAUUUGUUGGUGUUUUACCUUUGUGCUUAUAUAUUCAUUACUUAUUUAACCACUAAUCAAAAUAGCAAAAAAAAUAUGUCUUGUUUCCUUUAAAUUUAUUGUGCAAGGUAAGACUUUUCAUUAAGAGCAUCAAGCAUGACUCCUCAGCUUGGGUUUUGUUGAUUCCUCGAGUCAAAGUGUGUUCAAACAUUGAUUAUCAAGGUGAUAUCUAUCAAAGCAUGAUCUCUAAUAUCCUCAAGCAUCUUUCAAUCUCAUUUGGAUCAAGAGCAACUCAAAGUCUCGUUGCUUAUUUAUCAAGAAAAGUCAAAGGUUCAUGUGUUUAUUUCCUUCUUCAACAAGUUACCUCAAAAUUUGAGAAAUUUAAUCAAGAUGAAUUCAAGGAAACCUUAUUUUGAGUUCAUAUGAUCAUCCAUGUACCUUUAAAUGCAAGAAAGGUCUAAGUACACAAGUUUAUUCCAAGAGGUUUGACUAAAAAGUCAACAUCUGAAGUCAAAGUUCAAAGGAUCACAACUCCUUCAAUUCUCAAUAUUUUUGAAUGCUUUUUUUUUGCAUAUGAUUCUUAUCAUUAUACUUUAAAACUUAUCUUUACAUGACAAAAUCCAAUUAUUCUUGGAGGAUCAUCAAAUGUUUGGAGACAUUAUAAGUCAUUUGUGGACUUGGUGAAAUUUGACCUAUUUUCAAGUGACUUUUUCUCAACUCUCAAGGAUUACAAAUCUUUCAAUUUUUAACAUUUGAGGUUGAUUAUUUUUGCACAAUAUCAUUUUUGAUGCCCUCUACAAGUUUUAUUCAAGGAUAGAAGUAAAACUAUGCUUGGAACGCCAUGGAAUUCUUUGAGACAUUAUAGGUCAUUUUCAUCCAUUUGGGACUUAGAUUUUGCUAAGUUACAUUACCAGAUUUUCGUGCCAACUUCAACGUGUCACAACUUUGUGCUCAAGCAUCCAAAUGAGACCUUUCUUGGAAUAUUGUAAUCUUUUAUAUGAUGCCAACAAAUUGCAAGAAGAAUGGGAUCAAAGAGCCUCCUGAGCAAGAUGCCCCAGUGAGUUAAACAUGGUGACUUAGAACUAAAAAAAUCACCAUGAUCCAAAUUUUGAACUUCACUAAUCUCAAUUGCAAGCCAAGUUACCAUGCAUUUUGGACCUAAACAUGUUCAAUCAAGUCUCCGAAAGUUAAUUGACUCUUAAAACACAUCAUUUGGAUGAGUUUUGAUGGUUUGCAAGUCACACUUUUCUUACAUUCUGAUCAAAUUCGUUUUGCACGAAUUGAGUAUCAUUUCACAUGUAUUUGGAUCCCAACACAUUCCCUGUAAAUAGAGCAACAUGCUUGUUUCAUUCCUAAGCUUUUGAGAGCCAAGAAACCCCUGUUUCACUAUGAAAUUUUUCCAAAAAAUUGAGCUAUGGUGUUUUGAAUUCCAACUUGUUUCAAUCCAAUUUCUUGAUUCCAUUAGCAUCUUCGGUCUUCUAUGAAGCUUUUGCAACAAUUCUCAAGCUCUGAGACCUUCUAAAGUGACCUUCUAAAGUAUCAUUUGGACAAGAUAAUUAUGAGCAUCAUUUAAACUCAAACAAGUUACCACAAUGUAGUCCUCCUCUCUUUGAUACUUUCCCCUAACUUAUCUGGUGUUGAUUGAUCAUGUUCAUUAUUUAAUUUUAUUCUUCGUGGCUUGCUUGUUUAUGAAACUUCUCUGAAAUUCUCCAUACUCAGAUUAGAUAAAUGAAUUUUGGAGCAUGCAGUUGAAUUCGUGGUGAGGAGGCGAUCACAUUGAUGGUAGUCCCGUACUCUGAAUUUGAAAAACGAUGAAACUUCGGUGAGGGAUCAUCAGGGAAGAUGGCCGGAGUUAUCUCAAGUCAUCUGAGUUUUCUUACACGUUGGCAAUUUGAAAUAUUCUGAUUAAUCCAUUUUGAAUUAGAUCUCGUGUUUUAUCUUGUCUAAUGUUCAUCGUGCACCCUAGCCCGAGGAUUGUUGGAUCUGCCACGUCAAUUAAUGAGGCAAGAUCUAACGCUCAGUGUUUUUUCUGAUUUUAUCUCUUUUUAUUUUUUCAUUUUUAAUUGCAUUUUAUUUUAAAAUUCAUAGUAAAUUUAUUUUUCAUACAAAAAAUCGCAAAAUAAUUUCUAAAAUUAUCUUUUAUUUUUCUUCAUCUGAUUUUUAUUUUUCCAUAUUUUAUUUUCUUGAUUUCCUAUUUUUCUCAAAUUUUCUCUUUUCUCAUUUGUUUUAAUUGGUUUAAAAAUACUUUUAGGCAUUUAAAUUUUCUGAAAAAUUUAUUUUAUGUCUCUUAUUUUAUUUCCAACCUUCCAUAAUUUUCUUGGCCAUUUAUUUGGUGUUUUGAAGGGCUUUAUGGAUUUUCUCUUUUAUUUCCCUUUUAAAAUUCAUUUUAAAAAUAUUAUUAAUGCAUUUUCUUUUAUUUUCUUGUAUUUUAUAUUUGUUUGACCUUUGUUUAUUUCUGUUGGCCUUGGAUCAUGGUUGUUUUGAUCAUAGGUUUCAUCAAAUUUAAUGGAUCUCUGGUGUUGAUGGGGUUAAAACCCUAAUUCACCAAAAUGGAUGAUUGAUUUUGAUGAUGACUUGAUCAAUCCUUUGAUCCAAUUUGGGUUUGGCUUAUCUUCUUCUUCUUUAUCCCGUUCUUCUCUUUUUUUUCUUGAUCAAUUGGAUGGUUUGUGUCCAUCUUGUUCAUGAUGUGUGGAUUGAUAUUUGAUGAACUUUCAUCAUUUCAAAUGUACCUCUUAAUUGAUCAUGGAUCAUUUAAGGUAAUUUUUUAUGAUCUUUUUAAUUUUCCUUCAUGAUUUGAGGACGCUUCGGCCAUAAUGUGACCUUCUUUUGCAUAAUGGUAGCAUGUACUUCUACCCUUAUUUUUCUUCUUCUCAUCUUCCUUUGAGGAAUUUAACAACCAUUUGGGAUUGCCAUGAUCCUUCUUUUUGGAUUACUUAUUUCUUUGUUCCCACAUAUAUCUAUUGUACUUUUUGAUAAACAACCUCAUAUCUUCUUCAUUGGAGUCUUCGUUAUCUUUAGUUUCACAAUCACUAAGCUCAUUAUUUGAGGUUUUUUAACUCAAAGUAUUUAGAGCAAUGGACUUUUUCUCUUCCACCUUGUCUUUACCUUUCUUUUUCUUCAUCUUUUUUUCAUACUUUUUUUCCAUGUUGUUCCAAGAAAGUGAGUUCUUGCUCAUGUUCUUCCAAUUUAUCAAACAAAGUAGUAAAAUCAAGUGCUUUAAGAUCAUCCACUUCUUUAAUCAUGAUGACCUUUGGUUGUCAUUCCCUGUUAAGACAUCCUAAAUCUUAGUUAGUAACAAUAGCAUUGAAGAUAAGAUUACCUAGAGCAUUCAAUCUAUUAAUAAGAUAUGUGAAUCUCUUUUGCAUUUCGGAAAUGGUUUCACCAUACUUCAUACGAAAGAGUUCAAACUCUUGGUUUAAUUUGUAGAUUCUAGCUUGUUUGACUUCAUUAGUUCCCUCAUGGGCAACUUCUAAUGCGUCCCACAUAGAUUUAGCGGUUUCACAAUGAGAAACACGAUAAUAAUCAUCAACACCUAAAGCAGAUAUGAGAUUUUUUUUUGCUUUCCAAUCAUGUGACCAUAACUUUCUAUCAUUAUCAUUCCAUUGACCUUCCAGUCUUGGUAUGAUGAAACCUUCACCAUUGGCCAUUGUAAUUUUUUAGGACCAUUGAUGAUGACGUCCCAUACACCCUUAUCAAUGGAGUUGAUAUGGAUAUGCAUACAAGCUUUCCAAUAGCCAUGAUUUUCACUGGUGAAAUAGGUGCUCUAUUAUACGGCCCUUUAGGUUCAGUAGCCAUUAUCUAAUAAGAAAAUCUUAAGACCAAAAAUAAUUGGAGCUCGUGAUAUCACUUGUUAGACGAUAGACCUAGAUCUAGAGGGGGAGAUGAGAGAGAGUACACAAGAUUGCUUAAGCAGUUCCCAAUCGAACUCACUAUGGUAUGUCUGCGCCUCAAUUCAAAUUCGAAUUAAGUAUUAAAUAAUAAUCUACUUUGCAAUGUAUUUGUACAAGAGAUGUGAAAUUAAAUCCAACAAACCUAACUUUAUUUUUGACUCUAGCACCUCCAAAAACCUUGAUCAAAUAUUGAUCAAGACACAACAAUGCCACUUCAAUUCACGCUUGUUGUGCUACUUCUUGGCACCGGCCUCAUUGUCUCAAGGCUUUCACCGCGACUGAAUUAAUCCCAAGAGAAAAACCUUUUAAACCCAAGAUUUGCAACACAAUCCACCGUUUCACGCUACUUCUUGCACAACACACCUAGUCCAAGGAUUUCACUCGAUCUGAUCUGAAUUGCAUAACUUUGUCCAAAAUCUUCAAACCCUAAAUAUCUUGAAGGAAAAAUCCCACAUCGGUUUUUAUAUUUAAUCCUCAAAGAUCUUAACCCAAUAUUCUCGGUACAAUAACCUAAUUAGACGUUCUCAAUCCUAAUCUAAAUAGGCACAAAAUCAAAAAAGAUAAUAUGUAGUUUGAUUGUGUGUAUGCAUAGUUUGAAUUGAAGAUAAUGAGUUGCUUUGAAUCCUGAUUCAUGUAACGUUUUAAUCACUCUAAAAACCUUACUAGAGAAUGAUGGCAUGUACCUAUGUAUAUAUAUAUAUAUAUAUAUAUAUAUAUAUAUAUAUAGUAUAUUAUAAUAUAUUAUAUAUAUAUACUAUAUUAUAUAUUAUAUAUAUAUAUAUAUAUAUACUAUAUAUAUAUAUAUAUAAUAUUAUAUAUAUAUUAUAUAUAUAUAUAUAUAUAUAAUAUAUUAUAUAUUAUGGUCAUUCUGAAGACUCGGCACGGUGAAGNNNNNNNNNNNNNNNNNNNNNNNNNGGGGGGGAUAUAUCCAAGUAAAAUUUAUUUGAUAACCUUUGAAUAAAAAAUCAUAAGUGUGGAAACUAAGUUUCAAAUUAUUUCUAGAUCAAAAAUCGUCCGAACGCGCACCUACUAUUGAAUGAGCUCAGAUAUCGUAAAGUGUCAAAUGGUAUGUUAAAUCCACAAGUUGAUAACAAAUACUUUAAACAACAAAUUAAUACUCCAUUAUGUAAAGGGUAUAUCCCAAUGAAAUAAGAAACAAAAAACAGAGUUGAGACAAUUUUUCAAAACACUUUGCAUGCGAUCAAUAAAUUUGAUUUUAGUAAUAGUGUUGUAUUUUAGACAAUACAAUCACUACAAAUGUAUAUGAAUUACUACAACAAUACAAAUUUAACAAAUGCUUCAAAAAUUAUCAUCCAAACAACUGUUGAUAAGGGAUCAAAGUAAUCAAUAAUUUGCGAAACAAAAAAUAAAAGAUAUAUAUAUAUACUAUAUUAUAUAUAUAUAUAUAUAUAUAUAUAUAUAUAUAUAAUAUAUAAUAUAUAUAUAUAUAUAUAUCAUAUAUAUAAUAUAUAUAUAUAAUAUAUAUAUAUAUCUAUAUAUAUAUAUAUAUAGUAUAUAUAUAUAUAUAAUAUAUAUUAUAUUAUUAUAACGAUACGAGAGAGAGAGAAGAGAGAGAGAGAGAGUACACACACACCCCAUGGCACGCAUUCAUUAUCGUUAGAGCCGUUAGGAAAGAGUACACACACCUCCUCUUCUCUCUCUCCUCUCUUCUCUACCUAACACAGUAUACUAUAAAAUAUAUAUAUAAUAUAGUAAUAUCUAUAUAUAUAUAUCAUAUAUAGCUAUAAUGAUAAUAUAUUACAUAAUAUAGAUAUAUAAUAACUAUGACUAUAUAAUAUAUAUAUAUAAUAUAUAUAUAUAUAUAUUAUAAUUUAUAUAUAUAUAAAAAAUAUCUUUUAUAUUUGUGUUCGCAAAUUAUUGAUACUUUGAUCCCUUUAUCAACAUUGUUGUUUGAUGAAAUUUUUGAUCAUUUGUAAAUUGUAUUGUUGUAGUAUCAUAUACCAUUUGGUAGGAUUGUAUUCUGAAGAAUCUACAAACACUAUACUAGUAAACUCAAACUUUAUUGAUGCGCAAUGCAAAGUGUUUGAAAAAUUGUCUCAACUAGUUUUUUGUUCUUAUUAUUCAUGGGAUAUACCUUUACUAUAAUGGAUAUUAAAUUUGUUGUUUAAGUAUUGUUAAUCAACUUGUGAUUAUAACAUACAUACACAGCCGUUUACGCAUAUCACAUAUAGUAGGUCGGUCGACGAUUUUGAUCUAGGAAAUAUUUGAAACUUGUUUCCACACUAUUAAUUUUCUAAUAUAAAUUUUCAAAUAAAUUUAGGGAUAUAUCCCCCCCCCCCCCCUUAGAUCUAGGUCUAUCGUCUAACAAGUGAUAUCACGAGCUCCAAUUAUUUUGGUCUUAAGAUUUUCUUAUU